rnacentral:rRNA from 1 species
CAGCAGCCGCGGGAAUACGUAGGGUGCAAGCGUUAAUCGGAAUUACUGGGCGUAAAGCGUGCGCAGGCGGUUAUAUAAGACAGAUGUGAAAUCCCCGGGCUCAACCUGGGAACUGCAUUUGUGACUGUAUAGCUAGAGUACGGCAGAGGGGGAUGGAAUUCCGCGUGUAGCAGUGAAAUGCGUAGAUAUGCGGAGGAACACCGAUGGCGAAGGCAAUCCCCUGGGCCUGUACUGACGCUCAUGCACGAAAGCGUGGGGAGCAAACAGGAUUAGAUACCCCAGUAGUCCCUGUCUCUUAUAA